UUGAUGUUGGGUCGAGAGAUUUUUCUUGUUCUUCAUUGCUUAGGAAAACCGCGUAUUCUUCACCCUUUCCUCUCUUCUUUCCACCUUAGCUCCAAAUCUUCAUCACAACUCACACAGAACCUCAUCCUCACAUUUUUUUCCUGCAUAAACCACCUUUACAACAUUAACCUCUUCACUUUUGAUCAUACAACUUCAAUAACCACUUGUUAUACACUACAACAUACAAAACCCCACCAUUAAAACUCUAUUUACAGUGACCACACAAAAACCUCGACCGAUCCAAACACAGGCGUCGCAUUCAAUGGUAUUCAACAAAUUUUCUUGAAGCACAUAUUGUUCAUGGUCUCUCACACUUCUAACCACACAAACCAACUAUUCCAUGCACCUCACCUUCUUCCUUAACAUAUACCUCCAUCAACCUUGCAAACACUAUGCAUCUUCUCCAUCCGUGAUUCACCGUCCUUACUCUGGAAAAUCACAAAUCAUCACCAUGUGAAUAACACUUUUCCACCCUCUACUAAACAUACUUAUUAACACCAUUAUACCAUGACAAUCAUCACAAACAACCAUUUAUCUCCCUUCAUAACACAAAUGAACCAACACACUAUAACCGCACAUCAAUCCAACCACAACCGUCCUUGGACUUCCAAACUUCCAUAAAUAACUUCUCAAACAACAACAAACUCGAUCUGCCAUAACCUUAACACCUCAACUUCCAACCUGCUCACCCCUAACCAUCACACCCUCAAACUUCUACACAACAUGAUUGUCGCUUACUCUAUACGAACACCAAUAACCUUGUCUCUUCGACGAUCUUUACCACCUUGUAGAACACCGUGUACUUCAUACUAUAUAUCACUACAACGUCAUCAUCGACAACGACGAGCUCCGUUCGGCAUCACCAUAUUCACCGGAAAAUAUAUGUGACUCGAGUCACAAGCAAGAAGAUGGAAAUUCAUGCUUUUCUUUCCAACAAGAGCACCGCCCUUACCAGCAUGCAUUUUCUUUUAAUUUUUCUUUUUUUGUUUUAUGUUUUUUUUUUUAAUUUUAGAAUUUGGGCUUAUCCAAUUUGAAACCAUGCAUUUUUCCAUGCCAAUACACCCAUGUCAAUGAGGAACCCCUCAUUUCUAUGUUUGCUUCUUUCUUGUUUUAAUUUUGAUUCUAGGAAAUUAUAAUUUGAUUACUUUUUUAUUUUUAUUCUAUGUUGUUAAUUAAAUUUUGAUUAGUUGAUUUCAAAUGUGUGUGUAGUCUUUUAUUAAGUUUGUUUUUGUCCAUGUGGGAUGUAAAGCAAUUUUAGUUGUCGUUAUCUUUAUUGUGUUGUGAUCUCGGAGUUAAAAUUCAAUUUAACUUUCGAAAAUCAUUUAGACGCAUAGAGUAUUGCUCGACUUCUUAUAGAGUGAUUCCCAUAUGAAUCUACUCUAAGUUAGCUUGGAGAUAAAUACAAUUGGGUUACUUUUGGGACUUCUUACAAUGAGUACGACUUUCGGUCUCAUAGCUUACUCUUGGGUCUUCUUACAAUGAGAUUUUUUUCUUUCCGUGCUUGCACUUACUUGUUUAUUUGCUUGUACUUUAAUUUCUUUAUCAUAUUCCCCGAUUGACAAGUGUA